CCGUCCAUGGUGCCCAGGGGGCAGGUGCGCACUCCAGAGGCCUGCUGGACAGCAGCGCUCUGCUUCCAGCCAGCACCCUGAGAUCUACACGCCAGAGCAUCAUCACCACGACCACCAGUCGCUGAGGAAGCGGGGGUUUCCUAGAAUACUUGGAAUCCGAUCUUUGAAAGGAGAAGCUGCAUCUCUGUUGAGUUUUCCUAAGGAGAAGUCCUGAAUCAGAGGACUCUCCCACCUCCUGCAUCCAUCCACUCUCCAUUGUGUUUUAAAGUUCCUCCUGUUAAGUUCCGUGUGACACACGAGGUUGGAAGUUAAAGCAAGGGGGUGUGACCAUCCCCCCAUCCCCACCAGCACCCAGCAAACACCAGUCUCGGGGACUCUGAAAAUUUCAGCAAUCACCGAACCGGUGGUCAGCGGCUGUCUUCCCUUUCCAGCAGUGAAAAGAGAAAGGAGGGGGUCAUCCCGAGACCCUCCAGGCCCAGGGGGGUGGGAGACGGUUCCUUAAACUGUUUCCUUUCCCCUGUGCUCCCCUCCCGCUGGGAAAGGUGCUCGCCUCCAGCGAGCGACGGGGGAGUGGGGCAGGGACGGCGGACUCCACGACCGCCUGGAAUGCGCCCUGGAAUCAGACCUCUAGGCUCGCCUCCAAAAGCCCCUUUGUCCGGUCCACCCCGCUCCCCUCCCCCACCGCGCCCUCCGCGUCCCGGCGGCCCGAGGCUCGGCUCCUUUUGUCUGGCUUCCCGGAACCUGCCAGGGGGUCCGCAGGCGUGGGGAAGGUCGGAGGAGAAAGGUCGAGGAGACGGAAACGCGCCUUUUCGGGAGGGAUUCGGAAUUCCCACCCCCGGCGAAUUCGCCCACUGCCCGCCGGGGCCCCCCUCCGCCUCGGCGGAGGACCGGGGGGUGGGGGCUCGGCCGCCCGCGCGGGCCGGGCUCCUGAACGGGGAGCCGUCGUCGCCAGAGAGUGAUGACGCCGAGCUGCUCCAGCGCGCCGGGCGGUCGGCGCGCCCGCAGGCCCCGCGCUGCCGCAGCUGCGCGCGGAA
rnacentral:lncRNA from 1 species